UAAUUUCUGUUUCUUGCUCGUCAUAACUGUUAGAUGACUUUUUUUUUAAUCUUUUCUAUUUCAUGUUUGAAUUCCUUGAAAUUGGUGGGGACCAUUAUUUUUGUGUUUGAUGGUUAUAAUUCACGUUGUUCAUUUUUCUUGAGAUAAAUGGGAGAUUGUUAUUAGUGACUGAGGGUGGCAAAUAGGGUGGCGGAUCAGAAUUGCCCUUUAACCUGCUCAGGAUAAAAAAAGGAUGCGUAAUUUAUUGUAAACUGUAUGACAGAUGUAUAGUGAGGGACGGUUUCUGACAGAUGGCUGUGUAUCCAGAUGUAAAUAAAAGCAGGUCGAGGGAAAAACCAUUGACCUUUAGUGCACUUUGUGUUUUGAAGCACCUUUUGCCAAGGUU